UACGUAGGGCGCGAGCGUUAUCCGGAAUUAUUGGGCGUAAAGAGCUCGUAGGCGGUUUGUCGCGUCUGCCGUGAAAGUCCGGGGCUCAACUCCGGAUCUGCGGUGGGUACGGGCAGACUAGAGUGAUGUAGGGGAGACUGGAAUUCCUGGUGUAGCGGUGAAAUGCGCAGAUAUCAGGAGGAACACCGAUGGCGAAGGCGGGUCUCUGGGCAACAACUGACGCUGAGGAGCGAAAGCGUGGGGAGCGAACAGG
rnacentral:rRNA from 1 species